rnacentral:rRNA from 1 species
AGUCGACGGCAGCGCGGACUUCGGUCUGGCGGCGAGUGGCGAACGGGUGAGUAAUGCAUCGGAACGUACCCAGUAGCGGGGGAUAACUACGCGAAAGCGUAGCUAAUACCGCAUACGCCCUACGGGGGAAAGGGGGGGAUCGCAAGACCUCUCACUAUUGGAGCGGCCGAUGUCGGAUUAGCUAGUUGGUGGGGUAAAGGCCUACCAAGGCGACGAUCCGUAGCUGGUUUGAGAGGACGACCAGCCACACUGGGACUGAGACACGGCCCAGACUCCUACGGGAGGCAGCAGUGGGGAAUUUUGGACAAUGGGGGCAACCCUGAUCCAGCCAUGCCGCGUGUGCGAAGAAGGCCUUCGGGUUGUAAAGCACUUUUGGCGGGAAAGAAACGGCGCCGGCUAAUACCUGGCGUAACUGACAGGUACCCGCAAAAUAAGCACCGGCUAAAUACGGGGCCAACACCCGCGGUAAAACGUAGGGGGGCAACCGUUAAUCCGGAAUUACUGGGGGGGAAAAACGGGGGCCAGGGGGUUCCGAAAAAAA